rnacentral:rRNA from 1 species
UCAUCCAACGGCGUCUCCCCGUCCCCCCCGCCGCGCAAGUUGGUCCAGGCCCCGGCGCCGGCUCCUGCGGCAGACCCGGUGUCUAAAUUCUUCGGGGGCGCAAAAGAGACCCUGACGCCCCCGCGCAGACCUGACGAUCAAGCCUCGAAGAUUGACGCGAUCGUCGCGGCCAAGCUGGACCGGCCUCUCACCUUCACCAACGAAGAGGGCGAGGGCAGCGACGAAACCCUGGACCUGGGGCCUGCCCUCUCCCUCGCUUGCCACACCCCUCAGGUGGCACGCACGCACGCGCUGCAGCUUGGUGAAGUCACCCAGAAGGUCACGAAGAUGCAGCUGCAGGGCAAAGACGAAGACCUGGCGCCUCAGCCCCUCUUCAGCCCCCUCCCUCGUGCGGUGAUCGUCAAGUCGCGGGCCCGUGACAAGACGCCCGCCAAGACAAGGGCGUCCCCGAAGCCGACCAGGCAGAGUACUAGACAGGCCAAGAACCCAUCAACAGUUCCGGUCUCGCAGAGGGCCACGCUUCGCAUCGUGCAGGGGCUGGGAAUCCUUGGUCCAAAGGAAAGGAUGACAGCCCAGGCGACCGAAGCUCUCAUUCGUCGUUUC